rnacentral:rRNA from 2 species
AGCGGCGGACGGGUGAGUAAUGCCUAGGAAUCUGCCCAGUAGUGGGGGACAACGUUUCGAAAGGAACGCUAAUACCGCAUACGUCCUACGGGAGAAAGUGGGGGAUCUUCGGACCUCACGCUAUUGGAUGAGCCUAGGUCGGAUUAGCUAGUUGGUAGGGUAAAGGCCUACCAAGGCGACGAUCCGUAACUGGUCUGAGAGGAUGAUCAGUCACACUGGAACUGAGACACGGUCCAGACUCCUACGGGAGGCAGCAGUGGGGAAUAUUGGACAAUGGGCGAAAGCCUGAUCCAGCCAUGCCGCGUGUGUGAAGAAGGCCCUCGGGUCGUAAAGCACUUUAAGUUGGGAGGAAGGGCUUACAGCGAAUACCUGUGAGUUUUGACGUUACCAACAGAAUAAGCACCGGCUAACUUCGUGCCAGCAGCCGCGGUAAUACGAAGGGUGCAAGCGUUAAUCGGAAUUACUGGGCGUAAAGCGCGCGUAGGUGGCUUGAUAAGUUGGAUGUGAAAUCCCCGGGCUCAACCUGGGAACUGCAUCCAAAACUGUCUGGCUAGAGUGCGGUAGAGGGUAGUGGAAUUUCCAGUGUAGCGGUGAAAUGCGUAGAUAUUGGAAGGAACACCAGUGGCGAAGGCGACUACCUGGACUGACACUGACACUGAGGUGCGAAAGC